AGAGUUUGAUCCUGGCUCAGGAUGAACGCUGGCGGCGUGGAUAAGGCAUGCAAGUCGAACGCCCCGCAUGGGGGGUGGCGAACGAGGUAGUAAUACGUAGGAACUUCCCCCUAACUCAGGAAUAACUAGUCGAAAGAUUAGCUAAUACCUGAUAGUCUCUUCGGAGUAAAGAUUUAUCGCUUAGGGAAAGGCCUGCGGGAUAUCAGCUAGUUGGUAGUGUAAUGGACUACCAAGGCUAUGACGUCUAGGGGAGCUGAGAGGCUGACCCCCACCGAUGGUACUGAGACACGGACCAUACACCUACGGGUGGCUGCAGUCGAGAAUCUUCCGCAAUGGGCGCAAGCCUGACGGAGCGACGCCGCGUGAUUGAUGAAGUCCCUCUGGGACGUAAAGAUCUUUUAUGAGCUACUAAGUUUAUUGAAGAGCUCAUGAAUAAGGGGUUGCUAAACUCGUGCCAGCAGCAGCGGUAAUACGAGUGCCCCAAGCGUUAUCCGGAAUUACUGGGCGUAAAGGGUGUGUAGGUGGUUGUAUUAGUCUUUUGUUAAAUUCUUCGGCUUAACCGGGGGCAUGCAGAAGAAACGGUACAACUAGAGGAUAUGAGGGGUGAAUGGAACUCAUGGAGUAGGGGUGAAAUCCGUUGAUAUCAUGGGGAACACCAAAAGCGAAGGCAGUUCACUGGCGUAUUCCUGACACUGAAACACGAAAGCGUAGGUAGCGAAUGGGAUUAGAUACCCCAGUAGUCUACGCCCUAAGCGAUGAUCGCUAGUUUUUCGGAGUAUCGACCCUCUGAGAGACGUAGCUCACGCGUUAAGCGAUCCGCCCGGGUAGUACGGCCGCAAGGCUAAAACUCAAGGAAUUGA
rnacentral:rRNA from 1 species